rnacentral:tRNA from 1 species
AAUGGUAUGCCUGAUUAAAGGGUUAUUAUGAUUAAAUAAAUUAUGUAAAUUAAAUUUUUAUUACCAUUA